rnacentral:rRNA from 1 species
AGCUCCAAUAGCGUAUAUUAAUGUUGUUGCAGUUAAAAAGCUCGUAGUUGGAUUUCUGGUGGGAGCGUCCGGUCCGCCGUAAGGUGUGUACUUGGUUGUCUCCUGUCAUCCUUGUGGGAACUGCUCUGGCAUUAAGUUGUCGGGGUUAGGGAACACAUCGUUUACUGUGAAAAAAUUAGAGUGUUUAAAGCAGGCUUAUGCCGUUGAAUACAUUAGCAUGGAAUAAUAAGAUAGGACUUUGGCGUCUAUUUUGUUGGUUUGCACACCAAGGUAAUGAUUAAUAGGGAUAGUUGGGGGUAUUCGUAUUUAAUUGUCAGAGGUGAAAUUCUUGGAUUUAUGAAAGACGAACUUCUGCGAAAGCAUUUACCAAAGAUGUUUUCAUUAAUCAAGAACGAAAGUA